UACGUAGGGCGCAAGCGUUGUCCGGAAUCAUUGGGCGUAAAGCGCGCGUAGGCGGCCCUGUAAGUCCGUUGUGAAAGUCAAAGGCUCAACCUUUGAAAGCCGAUGGAUACUGCAGGGCUAGAGUCCGGAAGAGGCGAGUGGAAUUCCUGGUGUAGCGGUGGAAUGCGCAGAUAUCAGGAGGAACACCAAUAGCGAAGGCAGCUCGCUGGGACGGUACUGACGCUAAGGCGCGAAAGCGUGGGGAGCGAACAGG
rnacentral:rRNA from 1 species